rnacentral:piRNA from 1 species
UCAUAAUUGGCUAGAGCCAGGGUGAC